CGAAUUUCGUAAUUCUGUGUCUUCCCUGUUAGAGACCUUGAUUUCUGUUACCAAGAGAGACAUGCAGAUCACUCCUUCCUAAUUAAUUCAACAACUUUACAGGAUGCAGAAAAAAAAGCUUUACACAGGGAGAAACAAGUGUUCAAGAGAGAGGGAAUACAAAACCAUAAUAAAAAUGCAAACUAAGUUUGAAAUCUCAGGAAAUAGAAGAAUGAAUAUCUGUUGUUUUAUAUUUCCCUUGGUUUUGACUGUGUUUUGUGGAUGGUUGUUGAACAGUGUGCUUGUUGAACCAACCAGUUGAAACACUGGGAUAUGGUUGGCGUUCAUGGUGCCAGCCAAGCGCUAUAAGCUUAUCAUUACAAUGCCUGCUUCAAUGAGUACCGAAAGAAGAAUCAUUCUUCGAGCUUUUAGAGCUGAGCUUGUUCUCACUGAUCCUGCUAAAGGGAUGAAGGGGGCUGUUCAGAAGGCAGAGGAGAUUUUGGCUAAGACACCAAAUGCUUACAUGCUGCAGCAGUUUGAAAAUCUAGCCAACCCAAAGAUCCAUUAUGAGACUACUGAGGCAGAGCUAUGGAGAGGCUCAGGAGGGAAAUUCGAUGCCUUUGUUUCUGGAAUUGGUACUAACGGCACAAUUACAAGUGUAGGGACAUUUCUUAAAGAAAAGAACCCCAAGAUAAAGGUCCGCAUAAGAUUCAAGGAAUAGGCAUUGGUUUUGUCCCAAGUGUUUUGCAAGUCAACGUUGUUGAUGAAGUUAUUCAAAUAUCAAGUAAUGAAGCAAUUGAGACAGCAAAGCUUCUUGCCCUGAAAGAAGGUUUACGUGCAAGUUUUCAGCUCCUCCAAAAUCAUUUACUGUAGAUUUAAAGCUGUUCUUGCUAGCAGUCUCAUGGAAUGAUUAUGUAGUUUCUUUCUCUGCCGCUGCAAUUAAGAUUGCAAAGAGACCUGAGAAUGCUGGAAAACUUAUUGUUGUAAUUUUUCCAAGUUUUGGAGAGAGGUAUCCGUCUUCUGUCCUAUUUGAAUCCGAGAGACAGAAGGCAGAAAACAUGGUGGAGGAGCCCUGAUUUCGUAUUUCAAUCUAGCAUUUUGGUCUCCUAUUGCUUCUCCUUAACGUAAUUACAUGAAUUGUAGUCAUUUUAAACUGGUACCGCUAGCUACUCAUUAUACAGCCUGAUUGUUCAUAUCAAAUACA